ACGGGUGAGUAACACGUGGGAACGUACCCUUUGGUUCGGAAUAACGCUGGGAAACUAGCGCUAAUACCGGAUACGCCCUUUUGGGGAAAGGCUUGCUGCCGAAGGAUCGGCCCGCGUCUGAUUAGCUAGUUGGUGGGGUAAUGGCCUACCAAGGCGACGAUCAGUAGCUGGUCUGAGAGGAUGAUCAGCCACACUGGGACUGAGACACGGCCCAGACUCCUACGGGAGGCAGCAGUGGGGAAUAUUGGACAAUGGGCGCAAGCCUGAUCCAGCCAUGCCGCGUGAGUGAUGAAGGCCUUAGGGUUGUAAAGCUCUUUUGUCCGGGACGAUAAUGACGGUACCGGAAGAAUAAGCCCCGGCUAACUUCGUGCCAGCAGCCGCGGUAAUACGAAGGGGGCUAGCGUUGCUCGGAAUCACUGGGCGUAAAGGGCGCGUAGGCGGCCAUUCAAGUCGGGGGUGAAAGCCUGUGGCUCAACCACAGAAUUGCCUUCGAUACUGCUUGGCCUGAGUUUGGUAGAGGUUGGUGGAACUGCGAGUGUAGAGGUGAAAUUCGUAGA
rnacentral:rRNA from 1 species